GUUAAACAUAAAGAGCGUAGGGUGGAUGCCUAGGCACUGACAGCCGAAGAAAGACGUGACAAGCUGCGAAAAGCUGCGGGGAGAAGCACAUAUUCAGUGAUCCGCAGAUGUCUGAAUGGGGAAACCCACUUGGAUAAACUCCAAGUAUCUGUACGCCAAUACAUAACGUACAGAGGGGAACCCGGUGAACUGAAACAUCUAAGUAGCCGGAGGAAAAGAAAACAACAGUGAUUGCGAAAGUAGCGGCGAGCGAAAUCGUAAGAGCCCAAACCGUGGUGCGUGCACUGCGGGGUAGAGGACUGCAAUACGAGUAAGAUAUAUUACCUGAACCGUUUUGGAAAAGCGGGCCAAAGAGCGUGAGAGCCGUGUAAGGGAAAAUGUAUUGAAUCCAGCAGUAUCCGGAGUACCACGAGACACGAGAAACCUUGUGGGAAGCAGGGGGGACCACCCCCCAAGGCUAAAUACUAGUCAGUGACCGAUAGCGUAUAGUACUGUGAAGGAAAGGUGAAAAGAACCCCGGGAGGGGAGUGAAAAAGAACCUGAAACCCUAUGUUUACAAACUGUGGAACACCGAAAGGUGAACCGCGUACUUUUUGUAGAACGGUCCGGCGAGUUACAUGUACAGGCGAGGUUAAGUAUUAAAGAUACGGAGCCGAAGGGAAACCAAGUCUUAAUAGGGCGAUAUUAGUCAGUAUGUGUAGACCCGAAACCGGGUGAUCUAUCCAUGUCCAGGUUGAAGUUCGCGUAAAAGUGAAUGGAGGACCGAACGCACAUCCGUUGAAAAGGGUGGCGAUGAGGUGUGGAUAGGGGAGAAAUUCCAAUCGAACCCGGAGAUAGCUGGUUCUCCUCGAAAUAGUUUUAGGACUAGCCUCGUUAUUAGUCUACCGGAGGUAGAGCACUGAAUUUUUGCGGGGGCGUCAAAGCCUACCAAGAGAUAUCAAACUCCGAAUGCCGGCUAGAUGAUUGACGGGAGUCAGACUACACGAGAUAAGUUGGGUAGUCAAAAGGGAAAGAGCCCAGACCUACGGCUAAGGUCCCAAAGUGUGUGUUAAGUGGAAAAGGAUGUGGGAUUUCGAAGACAGCUAGGAUGUUGGCUUAGAAGCAGCCAUACAUUAAAAGAGUGCGUAACAGCUCACUAGUCGAGAGGUCCUGCGCCGAAAAUGUCCGGGGCUAAACACAACACCGAAGCCUGGGAAUGUAGUAAUACAUUGGUAGAGGAGCAUUCUUAGAAGCGUAGAAGCCAUACCGGAAGGAAUGGUGGAGUAAUAAGAAGAGAGAAUGCCGGAAUGAGUAGCGAGAAAGAGGUGAGAAUCCUCUUGGCCGAAUAUCUAAGGUUUCCUGAGUAAAGCUGAUCUACUCAGGGUAAGUCGGGGCCUAAGGCAAGGUCGAAAGACGUAGUCGAUGGAUAACAGGUACAGAUUCCUGUACUACAUAUAAUCAGAACUGUGGGGACACGGAGACUAAAACCGAACCCGGGAGGACAAAAACCGGGGCAAGCGAAGUACCUGUAUGGGAGGAAAAACCACCAUACAAAGGGAAUGCGUGAUGCGUACCGAAAAUUAGUAGGGAAGUCGGUUAGGGAGCCGUCAAGAAAAGCCGCUAUUGUGUUAUAUGUACCCGUACCGCAAACCGACACAGGUAGAUGAGGAGAGAAUCCUAAGGCCGGCGGGAGAAGCAUUGUUAAGGAACUCGGCAAAAUGACCCCGUAACUUCGGGAGAAGGGGUGCCACUUUAAUAGAGUGGUCGCAGAAAAAAGGCUCAAGCAACUGUUUAGCAAAAACACAGGUCUAUGCGAAACCGCAAGGUGAAGUAUAUGGGCUGACGCCUGCCCGGUGCCGGAAGGUUAAGAGGAGAAGUCAGGAAACGAAGCUUUGAAUUGAAGCCCCGGUAAACGGCGGCCGUAACUAUAACGGUCCUAAGGUAGCGAAAUUCCUUGUCGGGU
rnacentral:rRNA from 1 species